AGGUCCCAGAGCUUUCGGUCUUGAAGUCUUCCAACUCCAUUUCAAUGGCGCUUCUUGCUAUUCUUUUGACCUCCAAAUACUCACUCAAAACCUUGAUUUUCUCUCUCUCUUUUCACUUAAUUCCCACCAUACCCUCUUAUUCAUUCUCUUCCCAAUGCAGACGACGCCUAGCUACCCCUUUCUCUCUGCCUUCGGAAUCUCCUCCGUUAGCAAAGAAGGUCCCUUUUACAGUCUCUGCUCAUGGAAAAACGUGGCAGGAUCCCUACCAUUGGAUGCGCAACACCAAUGAACCAGAUUUUGUCGAUUACCUCAACCAAGAGAACUCGUAUGCCCAAGCUUUCAUGGCCGACACUCAAAACCUGCAACGAACUCUGUUUGAGGAAAUGAGAAAUAGAAUGCCCACAAAAAUUUCCACUGCUCCCGAGCGUUGGGGUCCCUGGUUAUACUACCAGUACAUUCCAGAAGGGAAAGAAUACCCUGUUCUUUGCAGGAGGUUAGAGUCUGGGAAAAAUGGUUGGCUAAAGACGCUUCUCAGUUACACAAGCGGACAGUUUGGGAUGGAGCAAAUUUUGCUUGAUUGGAACGAAAUUGCAGAACAAUAUGGUUAUGUCCAUGUGGGUACAUGCCGAGUUUCACCAGACCACAACUUUCUUGCAUACACACUUGAUUUUACUGGAAAUGAACAGUUUGUACUUCAAAUUAAGGACCUCAGAGAUGGAUCUAUUGUUCCAAAAUCAGAAAUUGAUGGGGUUGUUAGUUUGGCAUGGGCUCAAGAUGGCUGUACUUUGUUCUAUACAAAAUCAGAUCAGAAUCAACGACCUUAUAGGGUUCUGUGCACAAAACUGGGAUCUGAUGUGAUAGAUGAUGUUACAGUUUUCACAGAAGAUGAUUUGAACUUUUGUGUGGAUAUUACAAGUACAAAAGAUGGAAAGUUCAUUACAGUCAACUCAAACUCAAGAACUUCAUCUGAGGAAGGAAUUUACUUGUUUCAAUUUAAACUUUUUCAAUAAUAUCCUGAUUUCAACAUUUAUAUCAUGAGGGUGAGGCUUAUGUCUUAUGCCUUUUUGCAGGUUUAUGUGAUAGAUGCAACCAAUCCAUUUGACGGUUUACAAAGAAUACACAAGCGUGUUUCUAAUGUCCAGUAUUUUUUGGAACAUCACAAUGGUUUGUUCUAUAUUCUUACAAAUGCUGCUUUAAGUGGGUCGUCGGGUGGUAAUUAUUACUUGGCUACAUGCCCAGUUGAACAUAUAAAGUCAUCCCAGUGGCAGAGUAUCAUCCUUCCAAGUGAAGAUAUGAACUUUCAGGAUAUGGACAUUUUUAGUGGGCAUUUGGUGCUUUUUCUCCAGAAGAAAGGUUUCCCCCUGUUAUGUUCCAUCAAUUUGCCUUUCAAGGUUGAUUGUGAGAGUCAAUUGGAGGUUGACGAUCUUGAUCCAUGGUUUUUCCCUCUGCCUUCAAAUCUAUGUAGCAUUGUUCCAGGGUCGAACCAUGACUUCAUGAACCCAAAAUAUCGUGUUGUAUUGUCAUCACCAGUGAUGCCUGAUGUGAUUGUUGACUAUGACAUGUCAAGACAGACAUUCUCAAUCGUUCAGCAAGAGGAAGUAAGAGAACUUUCCGGUGAUCAUGGAAGACAUUUACCAGCCCAUAAGCAAGAUACUCCUGAAUAUCUUGAUACACAAAAUGGAGAGGAUAAAAAUUAUCACAAUGUUGAAUUAAGGAGAUGGAAAGACUUUUCUGAUGCAUACUGCUGUGAAAGAAAGGAAGCCAUUUCCCAUGAUGGUGUCAGGGUUCCCCUGACCAUCUUGUAUUCUCGAAAAGCCUGGCAGAGGGGUUUGUCUCCUGGACUAUUACAAGGCUAUGGAGCAUAUGGGGAAGUUCUGGACAAAGCUUGGUGCCCAGACCGCCUGAGUUUGCUUGAUCGUGGUUGGGUGAUGGCCUUUGCUGAUGUGAGGGGUGGUGGCAGCGGGGAUUCUUCAUGGCAUAAAUCUGGCAGUGGGUUGAACAAACAUAAUUCCAUAUAUGAUUUUGUAUCAUGUGGUAAUUACCUCAUUAAUGAGGGCUACGUUCAUAGAGAUCGGCUAGGUGCCAUUGGUUUCAGUGCUGGGGGCCUUCUUGUUGGGGCAGCUAUAAACAUGGACCGAAAUCUGUUUUGUGCUGCCAUAUUGAAGGUUAGCUAUCAUACAGUGGAAUGGAGAAAAAGAUUUGUAAGAAGGGAGGUUCGACUAGCAUUUUCUCUUUUCUUGAUUAUUUUUAUACAGAAACAAAUGAAGUGUCAAUCUUCUUUUGUGUUUUUGCCUUAUCACUAGCCAAAAAGGGAAAAACUAAUUUUUAAUGGGCAACAGGCCUGAUUAAAGAAGUUGGCAUGUAGUAUUAGAAUAUUAUGUGUAUAAUUGACCUGUAAUUUGGUUGUACCGCAAAAUAAUUAUAAUAAUAAUGCUUCGGUGAUGCUUACUAUUGCUUUAGUAUUAUUUGAAAGAAACGAAGCAUGGCUUGAACUUAUUUAGUGCACUACACCUUCAUAUUAUAUUGGUACUGAUCUUUGGUAAUAUGUAUGCCAGGUGCCAUUUCUUGACAUAUGCAACACGUUGUUGGAUCCGAGUUUGCCUCUUACCUUAUUGGAUUAUGAAGAAUUUGGGAAUCCUCAGAUACAGUCGCAUUUUGAGUAUAUUCUAAGUUAUUCUCCUUAUGAUAACAUUCAUCGCGAUGGUUGCCUUCCUGCAAUGCUUGUUACUACAUCAUUUCUCGACUCAAGGGUUGGAGUUUGGGAGGCUGCCAAAUGGGUGGCCAGAAUACGAGAUAGCACAUGUUCUAGUUGCUCUUGCUCAGUCAUUCUAAAGACAAACAUGGCUGGAGGACAUUUUGGUGAAGGUGGUUAUCACAGCAAAUGUGAAGAAACAGCUUAUGAUUAUGCCUUUCUGAUGAAGGUUAUAGGGGACUUAAAUGAUAGAAGUUAGGAUUGUUGCUGAGAUGCACUACCAAAUCAACAGAAAUAUUUACUCAAGUCCUUGUAAAGAGGGAUUCUUGCAAUUUUGCAGAGGUGGAUGGAUAACUUGAGAAAGUGUUUGAAAACAAGGUAAUAUAAGUACAUGACUCUCAGUUUGUGCUUUGAUUCAAUCUUUGUUUCUCUUUCCUGCCAGUAUGAUGAAGGCACUGCUUUAUAUUUGUUCAAAAUGAAGAUACAAGUACCUAUUUGAUUACAUCUCGCGCUGUAUCUCUCGUGUUGCAGCAAUAGGCAAGGUACUGAUGCGAUCAUUUCCUCUAGGGAAGGUGACAAGCGCGCAUCGUAUGGCGAAUCUAUGGAGGGUCAUAUCUUGGUCUCUCCCACCAAAUGAGAGGGUCAAUGCUCAUGUGGGUCACUCACCGCACAAGACGAGGUGAAGGUUAGAUUCUGUAAGAAAGAUGACAAGCGUGCCUUAGGGUGCUGGACGUGUGGGAACUUCAAUUCACCUAGCGGUAGCAGGGAUUGCUUUGGUUCUCCAAUUAGUAUAUUAGAAGCUAAAGAUCACAAGCUAUGCUUGGAGAGGAAUGGCUUUAGUUACUAGAUAAUCUUCUUUUGCUCCCUUGGUAAUUGCCCCAUGGAGCAAGGACUCCUCUUAUCUGAGAACUGGGAUGCAUAAAGCUGCAACUCUCCAUGAAACUUAAAUCUUUAUUUUUAAGAGCAUUUUAUAAUGAUCAACCAGUUCCAGCAUACGAAUUAACUAUUCUUUAAAAGUUAUUGGAUUUUCAUUCCUGAUGUUUGUGGAAAUAUUGGAUUUUCAUGCUUUUCAUUUUUAUUGUUAAACAAAACAAAU
rnacentral:misc_RNA from 1 species